CAACGUGUCAAGAAAGGAAAGUGACUGGAUCAUGGAAUAGUUUCUCCCAUGCUGUUCUGAUGAUAGUGUGUGAGUCCUCACGAGAUCUGAUGCUCUUAGAAGUAUUUGGAAGUUCUUCCUUUGUUCUCUCUCCUGCCAUCUUGUGAAGAGGGUGUCUGCUUCUUCUUUUGUCCUGAUUUAAGUUUCCUGAGGCCUCCCCAGCCAUGCAGAACUGAGUCUAUUAAACCUCUUUCUUUUAUAAAUUACUCAGUCCCAGGGAAGUUCUUUAUAGCAGUGUAAAAAUGUCUUAAUAUGUAGCAUUAAGUCUUUAUUUGUCCAUUUUGAUAAAUAUACAUAUUAUUAAACAUCAUUAUUAUUUUUAGCAUCACAAAGAUUUUAAAGAAAACACAAUUUGACUAAAGUUGAAUGCACUAAAAUAGCUGAGCCCAACCAGCAUGUUUUCAGUAAGUCCAUGUUAAACAUGUACCUCUAACUAUUCUACAUUUUAACGUUAAUCAUUUGCAUUUAAACUUUAAAUUUUAGAGAAAUCAUGGGUAUCAGAAAAUCACAUCAAUCAUCCUGUGCUCCAUAUGCCUAGAAAUUUGUAAGUUUCUACCUUUACUUUCUCCCUUUAUAUGCUUCUCUUUUUAUCCCUCCUUCCAAUUCUUUUCUUCCAUUCCACUCUUACUAAACCCCUUUCUUCUUCCUUAUUCUGGCAUAUUCUCUUUUAUUUCUUACUUUCAUUUACAACUUUGUACAAAAAGAAUGUCGGAUGUCUUUCAAGCAUAAGGACAUAAGAUAAGAUGUGCUAACAAUAUAGUUGGAAUCAUUAACUGCUAGAAUAUCACAUAGUAUUUAUAUUAAGUGUUAUAAUACAUCUUGGAAUCUGUUUCUCCGAUAUAUAUCACUCUUAGUUAUUGUUUUAUUUGCUUAACAGGGAAACAAUUACAUUUUACUCUGAGAGUCUAUGUAUCCUGUAACUAUUUAAUUGAUUCUAUUAGUUUUGUGACUCGGUGUGUCUUUCUGUUUUUAUUUUAAUCAUAGCCUUUCUGGACUAAUAUCCAAAAAGAAAAAUAUUUAGUAUUCAAUGUAUAUUUGAGGUGUUCAUGAACAGUAUCAAAAAUAUAUUUGCGUAUGCAAAUAUAGACAGUGAAACAUUUGGAUAUAAGAAGUUCCUAUUACUCUAGUAGUACAUAUCAAUAAUAUAGUUUUCAUAAUUUAGAAACCUGACACACACACAAUGCUUUUAUUUAAUUUUUAGCUAUAAUAUUUUAGAGGAAGAAAAAAUGGAAGAGGAUGAAUGAAUUGGGCAGUUUGACAAACCAAUUGGUGUAACAAUGAUAUGUAUAAUCAACUGCCCUCUUUCAUCAGCAUUCAUCCUCCAAAUUAGCCUGAACCUGAUUAAAUGAUUCUGUGAUGAAGGCCAGUGACAACCUUCAAGUACAUGCCAUGUUCAAGUUUUCAAGAUUUAUGUCUGUCUCUUAGGAUUUACAUUCAGGAAAAAAUAUCUACAAGACAGCGACUAAGCAGAUAUUUAAAAUAAAGCUUGACAUGUUAGUCUAAUUGACUAGACCCAGCAUAGGCCAUUAUUUGGAACAAGUUCCUAUAUGAAUGUUAUUCAUUUAUAUCUCAAAGGUCAAGCUUUCUGAGCAGUUUUCAGAAAAAAAAUGUGGAUGCAUUAAAGAUACACGGGGAGAGUCAAUCUACAAUGCCAAAGAGAUAUAAGUGAUUUUGCUGGUUUCAAAAAACCUACAGUACCCAGCUAAAGGCCCGGGACUCUGAAAUCAUUGUUUUUCAAUGGCUAUUAUUGAGCAUUUGAAUUCUCAUCUAGGUGAUGUUUCCAAAAGCCACUUUGCUAGUAAAAAGCCUCAAAUGGAACUUACUGAAGGUUUCAAAAAACAUAGUUUGGUAAUGCUUCCAGUUAAAAAAAAAAAGAAGUAGUAACAAAAUUAACCAUUCCUAAAAUCAUAAAAUUCAGUUCCAUUAAAACUGUAGUCAGAAUUUCCUUUAUAACUUAAAAUCCAUUAAUAAGAUUUAAGUGUGCAUUUUUAAUUAAAAAUAUUAUCCAAUCAGCCACCAAAGCUUUUAAGAAAUAUUUAAUUUUUACAAUAAAAGGACAUGUAUACCUUCUUUCAGUGUUGUAUUUUGUUAGAAUAUUACAUUUGCUAUGUCCUGAUUAGUUUAUUUUUAAAAGAAAUUAAUUAUGUGAUGAAUACCAUGGAGAAUAAUAAGAAUGAACUUGUCUCCAAAUAAGCCUGCUAUUGUAAUCACCAAAAUUACCAACUAUUUUGGUUCUAUCUUCCAUAAUAAAAAUGGAAAUUGCUGUAUGCGUAUAAAGUAAUACAUCUAAUUAACAUAAGAAAAUUUAUAAAAAGCAUGUCAACAAGUGAAAAUUGAUUUAAUCAAACAAAAUAUAGAUACUCAGUGCAUAUACCAUGGCAAGAAGCUAGAGUAGUAUGGGCUUAAAGAUGAUUUCUUUGAUAAAACUAUUUUUGAAGUAGAAACAGUGUACAAAAACAUGAAGUACAGAAUUAGUGAAAUGUGUUUCGUUGGUACUUGGGAGGCUGAGGGCACAGCAGAGAGAUUUUUGCAGAGAAUUUUGGGUUAACAAGGCUGAGAUCCACAUCUCGACUCUGUUGUUUGGGGUGAUCACAUAAUUAAUUUGACCUUUAACUAUAAAACCAGAAGUAACAGCAAUGUUCACCUUAUGUGAUCAUUUUGAAAACCAAAGUAAAUUCGUAUAUGUGAAGGUCUAUGGUGAAUUAUAAUUCACCACAGCAAGAAUUCUACUUAUUAUUAUAUGCAUGAGUUAAUAACUACCUAGACACUUAUGUAAACACAAAGUAAGAACAACUGAGUAUAAUUUCUAAGAAAAACACUUGUACUUACAGUGCUUGUGAUAAACCAGAAAAGCGGAGUUUAUGGGCAUCAGCAUACAGAGUUCAGCCCCUUAAAUAUUUGAAGGUAAAGGAUUUAGGGACUGGUAAUGUGGAUAUUGUCAGGUAGGUACCUGUGUUUUGGCACUAGGAGUCUAGAAAAUGCCAAAAUCAUCACUUCGAUACAUUUAUUAGUAGAAAUCCCUUCAUUUAUUUAUUUAAAUUGAAAUAAGUAAGUUGUAAAACAAAUGAUGACUGCUCCAAAAAAAAAAUUAAGAUAUCACUAAUAUGUGGAAAGAUGUGCAUUAAAAUAGCUUUAUGAUUAUACAAAUUAUUUAUUCUUUUAAUUUCUAUCAAUCUGAACUUUGCUACUCAGUUCUCAAUCAAUAAGCACUGACAGUAACUCAAGGUAAAAAUUAAAAAUAAAAACUCACAUUUUAAGAAACCAAUAUUAAUUUAGCUAUGUUAUAGAGGUGAAAAUAAUAUUUAUAUUAAUAUUUGAAAAUAUCUGAUACUGUGCCAUAAUGCAUAGGCAGUCUGUUGAACGAGGUAAACAUUGGACUGAGAGUUAAAAAAACCCAGUUCAAGUCCAACCUUUUGAAAUAACUUAUCUCCUGACUUUAGAUAUAUUUAUUGACUUCCAUGAGCUUCAAUUUUGUAGGAAAGAUGGAGGUGAGAAAAUGGAAUUCACUUGCAUCAUGUUGGAAAUUUAUCCUGCUUCUGAGCAUUGUAUCGUUGUAAUGCUUUAGGAGUUAGUUAACAACACAUCUAUUAAAAAUAUGCUGACUUGUGCUGAUAUAGUCGCUGCAGAAAGAAAGAAAAUUCUGUGAAUACCCAUUACUGUUUAUUUUGCCAUGCUGUGAUCAUUUCUAACUAGAAAACAAUGAAGCCAAGGUAAUGAGAAAAUAAAAAUCUGUAGGUGCUGCCUGAUUGCAGCAGGAAGUCUAUUAUACAGCUGAGUAGAGGAUAAGCAAGCUGAUCCACAGCCAACAUAACUCUCCCUAAGAAAGAGAGAAAAAAGCAUAACUCCACUUUCCUCUGUAUGCUGACCAACGUUUGUCUUCUGGUCAUAGAAAAUUACUUUCA